CGCAAUUACUGAUAAAGAUGGCCUCCUCCUCCUCAAAAUGUAGGCUAAACGCGCAAGGAAUUGACGAACAACCUCUACUGCACAUUGAAAGACCACAGAUUCAACGUCUUUAUCGACGAGAACGAAUUGACCAGAGGCGAAAUUAUCACACAAGCACUGAAGCAAGCAGUCAAAGACUCUAGGCUUGCUGCUGUCAUCUUCUCAAGCGGGUAUGCCGAGUCGAGAUGGUGUCUUGAUGAGCUGGUCGAGAUCUUGGCCUGCAGAAGAAUAAUGGGGCAAAUGGUUUUGCCAAUUUUCUAUGACAUCGAUCCCUCCGAUGUCAGGCAUCAGAGGGGUGCUUUUGAGGAAGCAUUCCGGGAACAUCAAAAGCGCUCCCCUGAAAUGGUGCAGACCUGGAAAGAUGCUCUUAAUGAAGCUGCAGAGUUGGGCGGCGAGGAUUUUAGUGCGACUGAUGGGUGAUUACUUACUUCCUUUUCCUUUUUAAUUCCUUAAUUAUAAAAUUCAAUUGCCAACCUGACAAUUCUUCAUAUGGAAGGGUGCACCAAUCUCACUGCUGCUUUUAAGGAAUCAAUCCAAAGGGGAUGGAGUGCGAGCGGAAAUGGUGCCCUUUUUCUCCCUGGAAAUGAACUUCCAUCAUGGUUUACGCUUGUCGACCCUCAGGGUGAAAUAGAUGUGCCACAAAGUUUUGGCUGUGAUUUAAAAGCAUUGACUGUGUGCAUCAUUUAUUCUUCAGACAACUCCCAAUCUGGUGUAUCUCUUCACAUUCGUGUUGCAAAUUUUACUCAGAACGCGGAAUUUCUCAUCUCUCCAAUGUGUGUCAAAGUAAUAAAAUCCCAGAUUAUCUUUGGCUGGGACAUUUUUCAAACAUUAAGCUCAAUGUCAAAGGCGGAGACAAGAUAUAUGUUGGUGCAUACUUUGUAGAACCAGCUGCUACUGAUGAUAUUCAUUUCAGGAAGAUUAAAAUAGGGAUCAAUCUGGAAAAGGAAAAAUUAAUCCAUGAAUAUGCACUCGACUGUCAAUCUAUGCCAUAUUCAAGUGAGUACAAAGAGGACGGCAAUCAUAAGACAGGACACAGUGAUGACUCGUCCCAUGAGAAUCAAUCCUGCAGAAGACUGAGGUCCGAUCCAGUGUUGAAAGAAAUGCAGAAGAAGAAACUGAUGAAAUCAUGCAAGAAGGAAGCAGCGUGGGCUAACAGAAGAAGAAAAAGGGAAUUGAAGCAGUUCAAGGACUCACUUUAGAUUUGCAAGAGUCGGAUGAGGCUAGGCUUCAGUACAGAAGCAUUUAGAAACAUGCAGAGUCAGAGAUUGCUCAAACUCAAUUACGUCAAGCUCACUGGCAGUUACAACAAUUAAUCAUUUCAGCAUACCUCACCCCACGCUCAUAACAUAUUUCAUAGCCCUUGGGAACCUGAGUUACGUUGUCUGGGAUACAUUCCAGGUAGGGGCAAUAGUGAUGCCAGUGGCCAAACACAUUGCAAAGUUCACAAGGGUGUCUGAAUGAGAAUUGGAAGGGUUUCCAAGCUAUGACUGCCUAGUUUGUAUUCUUCUCUUCUGGUUUUGGUGUUAAUGUAGUAGUAUUCUCCUCAUCAAGUUGGUGUUGAUAUAGCAGUUCCAUCUAUCACUUUAUUAUGAAAGACCAAAUAGGCCCGUUCUGCCAUAAGUACCUCCCUAUUCCGCUCAGUGGGGUUCGGCAAUGGGUUUGAAUGAUUGGAAAACUUCCUUUUCUUGAUCUUGUUAUUCCAUUGUGUAUUAAAUAACUUUAUGUUGUAAACUCAAGUGUUGAUUAUGUAAAAUUUUGUUAUAA